GACGAACGCUGGCGGCGUGCUUAACACAUGCAAGUCGAACGGAAAGGCCCCUUUGGGGGUACUCGAGUGGCGCACGGGUGAGUAACACGUGAGUAACCUGCCCUUGACUUCGGGAUAACUUCAGGAAACUGGGGCUAAUACCGGAUAGGAAUCCUUGCUGCAUGGUGGGGGUUGGAAAGCUUCGGCGGUUUUGGAUGGACUCGCGGCUUAUCAGCUUGUUGGUGGGGUAGUGGCUUACCAAGGCUUUGACGGGUAGCCGGCCUGAGAGGGCGACCGGCCACAUUGGGACUGAGAUACGGCCCAGACUCCUACGGGAGGCAGAAGUGGGGAAUAUUGCACAAUGGGCGGAAGCCUGAUGCAGCAACGCCGCGUGCGGGAUGACGGCCUUCGGGUUGUAAACCGCUUUCAGCAGGGGCGAAGCUUGUGGUGACGGUACCUGCAGAAGAAGCACCGGCUAACUACGU
rnacentral:rRNA from 1 species